UUUUAAAAUCAUCCAUUUGCAUAUUAAAAAUUGUUGUGGUUGACGGAAUAACCAGACAAUGACAUGUGACAUGCCACGUGUACCUCAUGCUGACGUACAAUGACCAAUUUUUAACAGCAAAAAUGGAUGAAAUUUUUAACA
rnacentral:pre_miRNA from 1 species